rnacentral:siRNA from 1 species
UGGAGUAAAGCACAAGGUCGCCAC